rnacentral:rRNA from 1 species
UACGGAGGGGAGCUAGCGUUGUUCGGAAUUACUGGGCGUAAAGCGCACGUAGGCGGCUUUGUAAGUUAGAGGUGAAAGCCCGGAGCUCAACUCCGGAAUUGCCUUUAAGACUGCAUCGCUUGAAUCCGGGAGAGGUGAGUGGAAUUCCGAGUGUAGAGGUGAAAUUCGUAGAUAUUCGGAGGAACACCAGUGGCGAAGGCGGCUCACUGGUCCAUUACUGACGCUGGAGGUGCGAAAGCGUGGGGAGCAAACAGG